AUGCAGUCGAGCGGACAGAUGGGAGCUUGCUCCCUGAUGUUAGCGGCGGACGGGUGAGUAACACGUGGGUAACCUGCCUGUAAGACUGGGAUAACUCCGGGAAACCGGGGCUAAUACCGGAUGGUUGUUUGAACCGCAUGGUUCAAACAUAAAAGGUGGCUUCGGCUACCACUUACAGAUGGACCCGCGGCGCAUUAGCUAGUUGGUGAGGUAACGGCUCACCAAGGCAACGAUGCGUAGCCCACCUGAGAGGGUGAUCGGCCACACUGGGACUGAAACACGGCCCAAACUCCUACGGGAGGCAGCAGUAGGGAAUCUUCCGCAAUGGACGAAAGUCUGACGGAGCAACGCCCCGUGAGUGAUGAAGGUUUUCGGAUCGUAAAGCUCUGUUGUUAGGGAAGAACAAGUACCGUUCGAAUAGGGCGGUACCUUGACGGUACCUAACCAGAAAGCCACGGCUAACUACGUGCCAGCAGCCGCGGUAAUACGUAGGUGGCAAGCGUUGUCCGGAAUUAUUGGGCGUAAAGGGCUCGCAGGCGGUUUCUUAAGUCUGAUGUGAAAGCCCCCGGCUCAACCGGGGAGGGUCAUUGGAAACUGGGAGAACUUGAGUGCAGAAGAGGAGAGUGGAAUUCCCACGUGUAGCGGUGAAAUGCGUAGAGAUGUGGAGGAACACCAGUGGCGAAGGCG
rnacentral:rRNA from 1 species